CGAUUUCCAUUUCUUAAAAUAGUUUCAUCGCAUUUCUUUGCAAUAGAAUCUACAUCAAAUCAGCCCUCUAGAACACAUCUCAUAACCACCCGCAAUAUCCUGCAUGUGAGUGCAUGCGGAGGGUCACAUCUUCUAGAACAUUCGCCACUGCGCAAUACCCGUACCUAUUUAAGGCCGUGGCGUGCACCCAGUGACGCAUUUGGGCUCCAGCGGCGGACGGCGAAGCUACGCGACGUUCUUCAAUCAACACCCAUAUAUACAUUCUAUAGUCGGAAAGUUCAUCUAUAGUGACUCAUAGGGAAAAGGAAUCGAAGCGGGAAAUGGCGAAGAACGAGCGACGACGUGCGGGUGAAAGGAGAGGAUGGAGAAAGGAAGAAGAGAAGGAACACGUGGCGGGUGACGGCGCGGGGUGAAGCCAGCCGGACAGCCGGACACCCUGAGGGUUGCCAGAUGAACAUCUAUCACCUUUGUUAGAAACGGGUCCUCUUACCUGCCUUCCUGAUAGAUAAGUGUGGCUGACAUGUGGCAGGUGUUGCAAGGGUAGGAAAAUAUAUGCAACAUUUGCCCGUGUUGGGACAGGUAAAUCAGAAGAUCCUACUGUUAAUUACAUUGGCGAGUUUCCUUUAUUUUUCUUCUCUUUAGCAUUCUUAAAUUGGAACACAGUAAAGGUAGUUUGUAUGAAUAAAACGGUUUCUGUUGGUUGUUUCAUUUGGUACGAAGGUUGUUGCAGGUGUAUGAUAAUCCCAGAAUGUUCUCGAUGUACGUUUUCUAUGAAGGUGUGAUGAGGAUGCAUGAUGGCGUGGGCGAGUGUUCUCGAUGUCCGUUUUCUUUCAUGCUGCGUGGAGGAGGUUUCAUGCUGCGUGGAGGAGGGACUCAAAAGAAAUUGGAUUCGCUAUUUUUCAUGCCUUGUACAUACGAAGGGCAGUGACGAUACCAUACUGGCCAGUAUGAAUUGAAGUGCUAUACAUGGGCAUUUGAUAUAGAUGGUUAUUUCUACUGCAUUAUGAUUAUAGCCAUUUAUGAACUCAUUGGCUUGAUUUAGCGGAAGAGAAAGUGUAAUUACGGAGAUUAACAAGUAACCGAAACAAAUUUUCGAUGGCUGAUCAGCCUUAAAAUGGUUACGUAUGAGAAUUAUGCAAAGGCAGCACUCCGGAACAAUCAAAAUUAUUUUACCCUGAAACUACAAGUAACGGUGGUAAAUUCCUUAUUGUGAUCACAAUUAGGUAUCUAAAAUAUAAAAAAUGUUAUCUAUAAAAAUGGUUUAUGAAGGUAUACAUAUACCAAGACAAUGGUAUAUGGAGGUAUACAUAUACCAAGACAGGAAUUGGUAAACCAAAGAAAACCCAACUAUCCAGUUGUCUUGUAAUUAAGAGGAAUGAAUUGGUAUUUUACAAAGUAUUAAAACAAUUAGCGUGCCCUAAAUAGCGGAGCAAACAGUCACACAAAAUGGCGGAAGACUACGUUUUCUAUUACCCGGUUGAAGUGGGGGUGACUAACGAAUAUAACUUCUCCUUUUUUACCCUUUUUCUUGAAUGAUAAAAGAAGGUAAAGCGAAUGAGUAAAAGGAAAAGUGAAUAAUAAAAGUAUAUAUAAAUGAGAAGAGCAAACCAACUACUAAAAGGCAGUUCACCAUUAUAAGGAUUAAACCACAAAUUGACGAAAUACUUUGACCAAUAACCAAAAACUAUAAACAGUUAAACUGUUAACUACAUACAAAUGGACCAGUAUAUCUUGCGAAAAAAAAAAAUAUAUAUAUCUAUAUAUAUGAAGUGUAUACUAAUAUACAUAUAUAAUAUGUAUACACAGUACAUAUAUACAUAUAUGUAACAUACAUAUAUACAUAUAUGUAACAUAUAUGUAUGUAUGUUGUGGAAAAGACUUUCCUUGUUCAAAAAUGACAAAUAUGCCAAAACAAAUCUUUUGACAUGCAAAGCAGCAUUUCUCCAUGCUUCAUAUACUGACAGCAGAAUGGGUGCACUGAGAUUGAAGGAUACUGCAGUGGGUUGAAUUGUGUGAGUGCUUGAUAUAAUCUACCACUUCUAUUUAAUUCAUAUGUUUACUAUCAAUUGAUUAUCUUUAUACAUUAAGCAUUUUACUAAGUUCUAUCAUGUUGCGCAACAAUAUCCACCCCUUAGUAAGUUCUUUUUAUUUUAUAUUUAAAUAUUACAUCAUUGUUAUUCACGCUAAGAUGCCUUGGUGUUGGUACUAAUGGAACAUCUGGUUAUGAAGCAAUUCAUCAAAUCACCUCCCUUACUUGCAUGGACAACCUGCAGGCCGUCUUAUCCUAUGCCCCCAAUCAUCCUAAACCUUAUCAUAAGAAGAAAAUACUUUUAUCAUUAACGAUACAUUACGUCAAAGCAUACUUGUAUCAUAAACAGUAGAUGACGUCUAAGGAGAUUAAUGUCUCAGCAAAGCAUCUUGGAAGGUGUUAACCAGGUUUUCUCAUGCUCCGUUUGAUUGUUAAAAAUAUUCUUGACCUGCCUGUUUUCCUUCUUAGCUUUCCGCUAAUUUUCUACUUGGCUUUUGCUGCAGUAUUUGAUCACCAAACUUUACCUGCUUAUAUACCCUAGGCUGAGCAAUGCCCUGCACAAUAUACUCUUCUCCACCUACCUUUUUUUAAAAUCUAUAAGUACAGUUGUAGGAAUAUCAAUUACAUAUAGUACAUGAGUUGAAGCUAUAUAUACUAAGUAAUCUUUAAGAAAUUCAAAAGUCUUCUUAAUUUCAUACAGAAAGUAAUAUGAGCACUACUAAAAUUUAAUUAUACAAGCAAAAAAGAAAGUAACACAAGCACUACUCAUUUUAAACAGCUCACACCUACUGUAUAUGAAAGACAUUGAAUCGUGAUUUAUAAAUUUUCCUUAUCAAAUUAUGUAAUGAGACUAUUCAAAAAUUUUAGUCUUCAAACGGACAGUUGCUUGGUUCCUUGGCCUCACCUGUAAAGUAGAUAUUAUGAUUCAUGGGGAUUUUUUCAUCCAUUUAUAGUAGUACAGGUUGCUUUAAUAAAUAAUCAUAGAGUUGUUAACAAUAUGCACCUGAUUUCUUGAAUCAUUUGGAUUAAUUAUUCAUUUACAUAUAGUGUCAUUAAUGUUAAUGCUAAUGAUAUUGAUGUUCUCAUUUGGUUAUUGAUGAUAAUAUAGAUGAGAAAAUGUUUCUCUCGGAAAAUGCAAAUACUAGGGUAUUGAGGUGAGAUCAGGUAUGCCCAAUAAUACCUUCCUUGAUGGUAAUAACUUGUAAAGUCUUCUUUAAGUAUACACUACACUUUAAGUAUACACUAAGAUAAGGUAUCAACUGGAUAACAACAACAAUAUAAUGAAAAGAACAAUAUUUAGCAAUUUAGCAUUUUUCAGAAAGUAUCUAUACAUCUACAUUUCGGAUAACCAUGUCACAACUUCUAUUAAAGUUAAUGUAUGGUAUAAUAACCUCUCGUCAUUGACACAGACUAAUCACUACAAAUCUGUAUCAAUGUACUACAGUUAUAUUUCCAGUUUAAUUACAAAUAAAUCCAUUUGAAGAGA